rnacentral:rRNA from 1 species
UACAGAGGUCCCAAGCGUUGUUCGGAUUCACUGGGCGUAAAGGGUGCGUAGGCGGUCGGGUAAGUCUGAUGUGAAAUCUCGCAGCUUAACUGUGAAACUGCAUUGGAUACUAUCCGGCUCGAGGAAUGGAGGGGAGACUGGAAUACUUGGUGUAGCAGUGAAAUGCGUAGAUAUCAAGUGGAACACCAGUGGCGAAGGCGAGUCUCUGGACAUUUCCUGACGCUGAGGCACGAAAGCCAGGGGAGCAAACGGG